rnacentral:lncRNA from 1 species
UAGAGCUUUAGCAUUGCCUCCUUGAACUAUCUCCACUCGCAAUCAUUCACAUAUCGUAAUUUUGGAUUUAAAGGGAAGAACAUACUACUUCCUGAGCUAACACACAAAGCAUAGAACAAACCUUGGGGACUUGCUUGGAUGAUUUUGUUCCUCAGACUGUUUCCUUUUUCAAGUCACCGUUUGUUUCCCGGCUUGGCUCAAUCUUCGGUUCACUGAAAGAGCAUGCGUUUUGAGUCCUAGUUACAUCAACCGUAAACUAUCUCAGGCCUUAGCGCGACAGAAACCAACCUCGAAUCGAUAGAAGGGUUGAAAGACUGAAACGACAUGCGUCCUAACAAUGCUCCUGGUAGAUCAUCAAAUCACACAUUACCAAACACAUGUAUCAGAUACUGACAAAUAACCAGACUAUAAAAACAAUUAUCAUCAUUCAUGAACACAAGGACGUAAUUAACUCAAGAGCCCAAAACAAUAAAACCAAAAGGGUAGACAACUACAACAAAUUAAACAUAAACAACAAGAGAAUUAGAGAAGCAGUACCAUUUAUUUAAAACAGUCCCAAGGGAAGGAAAAAACUCCCAUUAGGCUCUUCUUCUUCUCCUCUUUCACAGCAGACCUUUGCAUGAUACACUAAAGACAAAGAGCACCAAUCGAUGAUAAGUUCAAGAACCACCAACUUUAGUGUAUCUCACCCACAAUUUCUAUAGUGGAAGUUUGCAACGU